UCGGUACAUCAGUUCUAAUUACCCUCUGUCAAAGCUGGGGUUCUGGAGCCAGUACUGGAGCCCAAAUGGAGUAAGCUUGUUUACAGAGUAGAGUCAAGGCAGAGACUUAGCCACAAGGUCAGAGCAAGGCUGUGUAUUGCAACACAGAGUCCACAUGCCCAGCAGUUGGUUAUUUGUGAUAGGAGUGCUGAAAGACAUGAGGAAAGCAGCUCAGAGACUGGGGAAUCGGUUUACAUUAGGUAAAGGCAAAAGAAGACAGAAGCUGAACUUGAAUAGGAGGUCCAGGAUGUCAGUCAAAGGAUUGCCCCAGUCACACCUCUGCCACAAAUGACGAACCUUUGUGUCAUGCUGCAGUGUUUAAGGGUCUUCCAACACAUUAUUUCAUGCGAUCUUAGCACAACGCUGUAAUGUAGAUAUUCUUCACAGUAGAUGUAUUUACGGUCUUCAUUUUCACGCUGAGGACACUGUGGCGCUAAGGAGAUUGUGACUCACUUAUGUCACAGAUUGGGAAAUGGUUGAGCAGGUCUGGAGGGCAGCACUUUAGUAACCAAGGCUGUAGAAUCCCCACUGCCCCUCGCUGACUCUACUUACAGGGAAUUUCCCAAAGUCUUUGUUUUGUGACCCUCAUAAACUCUCUUUUAAAAGUGGCUUUGGAACCAUUCAUUCACUGCAGAGUUUUGAUAAUACACGUUUAGGAUUUAAAGGAUAAAGAAAUAUUGAUCAGGAGGGAGUGAGCCAGAAGUAGUUGAUUAUGUCCUUCAAUGCACAAAAGUUUUAAAUUUUUAUGUAGUCUGAUUUAUCUGUUUUUAUUUUUGUUACCUGUGCUUGCUUGAUCCUUUUUAAAAGAGGCUUUGAGCCAUUGCAAAACUUGUACUUAACAUCUAGCAUGACGUUCUUCCUGGCACUUGCAUGGUACCUCCAGGCCUAUUUCUUGCAUUCCUUUACACAACCAUCAUGGGAAUAAAGUGUUCAUCAGAGCACAAAAUAAUUGCAGAAAGAGACACUACAGAUGCACAAGACAAACAUUGAGCAUCAUUCAAACCAAGGGAAACAGAAUGGUGCAUUAGCCCUCGCAGGCCGAGAAUGCUUUGAUGACCCCCACUCUGCAGUACUAGCCGUGAGGAAAGGGUAUUAACUCCAUGUUUCAGUAUUAUAAUUUAUUGAUGAUACUUAUUAAAAUAUCAUAUAAUUGAUUGAUGCUGUAAUGGGUAAAAACUAUGCUGUAGAAAUUUGAACUUUUUGUAAUGGGAGCUGCCCUCUGCACACAGUGACCACAAGUACAGGUUUACCUGGAACGGUCCUAGUUUAUGUCUGUCAUCCUGGUAUGCUCAUUACCCCCACAAAAUCCAGAGGGGACAGAAAGGUGAUAAAGGAAUUAGCCAGUUAGUAAGUUAGGUUAAACCAUAGUUCUUCUCAGUCUCAGUGCUUUGCCCUCACGCAUCGAACUCCUGUCCGUGAAAUGGGGUGCUUGUUCUGAGAGACUUCUCCAAGGCGGGUGUGAUAGGGGACUUCAGAGCUCAGGUUCUGUUCUUCAAGCUGAAAGCAGUGAAUGAUCCUCCAUAAAUUCCCCAUAUCCCUGCUGAAAUACCUCCUUGCUCUGCUGUUUGUCUUCUUUGUCUCUUAUGUAAUUACAACGUCCAAAAAAAUGCCCUCUUAACAAAGGAAGGUGAUUGUAGAGGGGAGGUUGGGGGAUGGAAGGGGUUGGGAUGGAGAAACAAAAUGAAAUCUGAGUUAGAGAAAUUAGGCUUUCUAAAUGGAAUUGCCCAGAUUGAGGCUGCAGGGGGAAGUUUUUGAUUUGCUGCUAUUCUUGUCGAUAGGUUAGAAUUCUAGAAUCUUCUCUGUGUAUGCUGUGUAGCAGUGAUGGAAUGUACUGCCUUGGGAAACUAGGUGGGACAGGUCUGAUGGGCACGAGUGGUUCGUGCAGCUUCAUCAGCAUCUGACUUAUUGCGAGGAAAAGGCUUGGAUAACGGCUGGGAAAUAUGCUUCAAGAUUCAAAGCUAAAGCACCAUAUAAUAGGGUUCCCAUUAUCAAAACUUGAUUAUUGUACUUUUUCCUGCAUUCUUUUUGUGAGAAUGUUGCUUUUAAGUUUUGGGUUUCUAAUUAUUCCUGUGUGAAUGUAUAUAUGAAAAGCUGAGAUGUUUCUUGUCAUGUUGCAGAUAUUACUAAAUUUAUUGGCAGAGUUUCCUUAAUGGGAUCUAGAGUUAUUUGAAUUGUGUUCCUGCGGUGGUUUCCCUUUGUGGCAAAUUUUGUUUCUAAACUCCUUUUUAUUAGAAAUAUAGUUAAUAACUUCAGCUGGAACAUGCCUGUUAAAUACAGGAAUGGAAUGUUGUCCUUUUGUCCUUACUACUUGAUUGCUUUAUGAAUACAGAAAUGGUGAGAAUGUGUCCCAGAAUUCUAGCGAGGACUGGGAGCUCACCAACCCCAUGAAUGUGGUCUGCACGUAUCUGUAAUGGUCAUCAUGUCAUCGUGGUGAUUGCAGUGGGUUUUCAAAAUUAAUUUGAGAGAUGCCUCAGCUUUUAGUUUCAGGUUAACAAGUAAUAGUUUCUUUAAAAAUGAAGUUUGUAUUAUUAGGGCAUGAGACAGUAUUCAUGUUUAUGGGGAUAGUCCAUGAUGUUUAAAAAUGCAUCUUCAGAGUGGAUUUUACCAGAAUUAAAUUGAGACUCUUAAAGGAAUAUACUCCAGUCAGUAGAGUGAGCUGAGCCUGUGGCUAUAAGCUCAGUGGUUCUCUGGAGAACCUUGUGGCAUCAGGUGUUCUUUUAACAGCCAUGUGAAAAAUACCCUGCCCAGGCCGUAAAACUGAGUGGGGCUGACAGAGCUACAAUUUAGUAUUUUCUUCUUUUGAUCUUUUACACUGUAUCUUCAUUCGUAGCGGGUCAUAAACUUCACAGAGUACUGCCUUUUAUAUGACAUCCUAAAAGAAGUGCAUUUCUUAAACUAGAGAAAAAAUUCCCUUGAGGUAAUCUUCAUAACUGUAACAGCAUAUUUAAAUUUACAUUCUAAGUGUAUUUGGUAUGAGGUGAAUAGAGUCGGCAUCAUCAGUUUGAUUGGUUUGAUUUGAUAGUGGUGUUCAUUUGGACAGUUUCCUACGUGCACUAUUGUUAUAUCUUAUUAAACUACAAAUGACAAAGUAUCACUUCUCUCUAGCUAUAAUGAUAACUUCUCAUAUGUUCAACAAUAUUUUAAUACCCUCCUAAAUGUAAUUAAAGUGCCAUAAAAUACCUUUACUCUUAUAAUGAAUACUAAGCUUUAUUAAAAUCAAUGAUUCUCAAACUCUUUCUUAUCCAGUACCUCUGAUAGAGAUGACCUGCUUCUUUUGCCCGUUACCCUGAUUAAAAAGUACAAUCAGCCUUUUAUCACCCCUUGUACAGGCUGAACAGGCCUUCCUGGUGCUUCUGUAUGCCCCUCCGCACAGAGACCCUGUCCCUCUACCAUCACACAUGUACACCUUGAGAAUACCUGAUUUAAAUGAUGUCAAAAUAGUCAAGGGGAGAGAGUGGGAACAGCUAAACUCAUUUCAAGUUGAAAUUGGGUGCUCCUUUCACUCUCCUAUGCUAAGAUGAUACCAAGACUUGUUUGAUGGAAAAUAUCACAAGCUGAAUGUCUUAUGGCUCCAUUACUUGAAGAUGAUGAGCUUCACAGCUGUUUCCUACCAAUAAUGUUAGCUUAAAUGAGCCCAAAGUUUGUGAUUUCAGGCCACUGUAAAGAGAUAAGUGAUCUGUGAAAUACCUUUUAUAGAUAGACGUCCACUAAAUUUGAGAAUAGCCACCUACCUGCUGGUUUUAUGAAACUUAUUAUUAAAGUAAUUUAAAAUGUUAAGAGUGUUUUAGGUAAUUUAAAGUAUAAAAGUGAUAAAAGGUCUAAAAGAGCAAAAUCUGGGAGACAGUAGCUUUGACUUGGAGAUUAAUGAAGGAAUCUAUCCUUUCUCCUUUAUUUAGAUGCCUUGGCUAUAAAACUUUCACUUUCCUGAAUUUGAAUUUGAAUGUGGGUAACGUUUAUGUGUGUGUGUGUGGUUGGUAGUUUUGUUAAAGUACUUCUAACUUCUGUCAAAGCAUAGGAUGGCCUGCUCUAAAAUGUCAGAAUACUUAACCUGGGGGCAGUAACCUUAGAUUGAUGACAAAGACACAGGCGCUGCCAGUAUCAAUCAGACAUUUUCAUAACAUAUUACAGUUGUUGGAGAGAUCUCAAAACGUUAUUUAUGUUCAUCACUAGUUGUGUAACAAAUUUGUUUUUCUAACAUUUGACAUCUAUUUCAAAAUCAUUGGUGGGGGAUUCCUGGCUGGCUCAGUCGGAAGAGAAUGGGACUCUUGGUCUCGGGGUAGUGAGUUUGAGCCCCAUGUUGGGUGUAAAGAUUACUAAAAUAAAUAAAAACUUGAAAAAAUCAUUGGUAUCUUUUGUAAUUCUGUGUAUUUUAUGUAUACAUUUAGGAACAUUAUUUAAAGGGAUCUAUGUUCCUUCCCAUAUGUGUUCUUUCUUCCUGUCACAUGUUUCUUUUUCUCCUUCUGUAGCAUCAGCCACUACGUGAUUGUCAUGUCUAUGACCAUCGUUCUCGUGUUUCUCAAUGGCCUGGCACACCUGCUCACGACAAAGAAACUUGAACUCUGUGGCAAACCCAAAAGCCACCUCAUAUAAUGUUACUGAAGCCAUCAUUCAACAUCUGGAUCCUGCUUCUCAUUCGCCUUUUAAACCGAACUCUUAUCGAGGAUUCAGUAAGAAAAUGGAUAUUGGUAUACAGCAUAUUCUGCUCCUACAAUGAAAACGAUAUGUGGAAUUCUGAAUUUACAGGUUGUCUGGAAUAAAGGAGCUUCCGUUUUCUUUAGGUUUUUUACGUGUGAAAUAGUGGUUAUAUCUGUGGAAAAGCAUAGUAAACUUUCUCCAUUUGCAUUUUCUUCCUUUAGCUGGCAGCUCUCCUCUUUGAUGUUUCAGAGCACCUGUAGCAGUCUGGUCACCAACUGUGCAACUCCUCGUACGUGCAAAGGAGGAUGUGCUCCUGUGGGGGCGGUACUGAUCACAUCCAAAAUCAGUGAUGGCGAAACUUGAAGGAAAUCACCAGGUGGCACCAUAAACAUUUAUCAACUCUCAGCGCUGGUUUUGCAAGUAGUUCUAACUACUUGAUGAUAACACUAGAAAGACAAUCAGGAUCUGCUACUUCCUGAAGCUUCAGUGGAAACAAUGCUGCCAGCCGUUUGUCAUUUUCCUUCUGUGCAAUACUGUCUCAGCGCUGUUUCCAGGGUGUUCAUCGUGUACCAGCCAGGUGCAGCUUUGACCUUCACUCUAUUUUUUUUUCUUCAUUUCUGGAUUCGCGUUGGGAUUUCUGAAGAUGAAAAGGUGGAAAACACUUGGUAUUUGUGUCUAGUUCAGGGGAAAGAUUUUCAAUUGUAGACUCAGUAUUUGUUACCCCCAUACCUUUUAUCACGUAUUGUUUCAACAGAAUUCUUGAAGUCAAUGGUUAAACUUCCUGACAAUAUCACAGAAAUCAUUGUUAACAUUGUUGAUCUUUCUGGUUGUAAGAUUCUAGCCCAAAGGCCUAGAGUCCUUUCAUUUAAUUUAAAUUUCCAUCUGUAAACUAAUUCUCAUGGAUGAAAUAUUUUGAGAGUAAUUUUUAUUUGGAUUUUUCAUCAAGUGACCUUUAUAUAUCACUAUAGAGUUGGCAUUUUGCCCACGGGGUGCCUGUAGAUUUUGGCUGAUACUAAGCUUUGCUGGUCUGAGUCCCAUUUUAAAAAAAAAUAAUUGCUUUUGAAUUAAAUUAUAGCAUUACUAACUCAUGUUAAUGAUGAAGAAGCUCUCUACAAAUUACUAUAUUUUUCAAAUUGGCAGGUGAGUGAGCAAAUACAAUUUAGAAGAUUUGAAAAUCAGUUUGGCAAAACGUGCUUUCUUAAUUUCUGCUUAUGAAGUGUGGUGAUAAUUUGUGUGUCAUAGUACUUAAUGGUAUACCAAUGACAGCAGCAUAGUAAGUAAGAGAUCGAUGUCAGUAUAAGACCACAUGCAUCAGUCUGUAAUAUAAAAUUUCAAUCAGGAACUGAGAAGCUGCUGUUAACAGGUGAUGACAUUGGCAGAUACAAAACCCACGAACUUUCACAUUGUCUCAGAGGAUUUUUAAUCUCUUUUUAAACAAAUAAGAGAAAACCGACUUUAUAAAUACCUACCAUUUAACUCCUUUUAUAUCUAGUUUUAUCUUCCAUCUAUUCCCAGAUUUUCACACAGAGGAAUUAAUGAAUAUUUUAUCACAGCAUUGUAAAAGGUGCUCAGUGCUUUACCUUUAUUUUGUUCUUCGAAGCACAUCUUUUCCUAAUAUUGUUUUGAGUCAAUGUGCGCUUACAAAACAGGAGUAUGUACUUGCAGCCACAGACUGGCCUUGCUGCACUGUUUACUGGACGCCUCAGACUUGCUUGGGAACAGUUUGCUAGAUGGGCCUUUUCUGUUGUGCAGCUUGUCAAAUAUCUUAAAGUGUUUUGAUAUGCAUAUUUUUAUAUUAAUAACAGAAAAAAAUAAAUAUGAUUUAAAUAUAUUUCUGUUUAAGGUAUUUACUUUUUCAUUCUAAUUAUUAAUACCAGAUCUCCAAAUCAAAACUUAAGACAUUUGUUGGUUUUAAUUAGGAAUUCCUGUAAGAAUUAAAGGCUGCAUAUCAGAUUGAGAAAAUACUGAACAAAAAAUCCGUGGACCAUGAAUAAAUUAUGGAGGAUACUCUAAGGACUUCAGAAACUAACUGCAGUCUAUCCAUAAUUAACCAAUGUUUUAGUUCUCUGUAUUAUUAUAUUUAGUGUGCACUAUUUAGAACAUAAAAUGCUUUUUUAUUUUUUAGGGAAAUAAUGUUAUAAAUGGUAAUAUAUUUUCAUAAUAAUUCCCUGCAACUAACAAUGAUAGAGCUGGACUACAUACCUAGAUACCUGGUCAUCAUUCACGAUCCAAAUUUCAGCCAACUCACAUAUUAGGAGCAUUAUGUUCCCUACCCCAACCCCCUACUUUUAUAUACUUGUUGUAGUAGAUUAAGGACUCCUUUGCUCUCCCACCUUUGAUACAUACCUCUACCAUCAAAAAUGUAAUUUCUGAUGGAGCUGGCCCGGGGGGGGGGGUGAGGAUUAUGCAGGGGGUGGGGGAAGUAGGUGAGAGACUGUCUCCAGAGACAGACAGUAGCUCUUCAGAGUUCCAGCUCUCCUGGGGAGAACCUGGGGAGCCCCUAGAUAAACUCCAGACAUCUUAGACAUCAUCUGUUCAAGGGGGCUGAAGGAGGGAGCUAAAUUGACUCAGUCAUUUGAAGUGGACAGCCUUUUGGCAGUUCGGAGGACUCCUUUAGGAGACCAGAGAGAACAUGGUAAUUUCUCACCUUUUCAGACUCAUUCCUUAUAUAUCUACGUUUUCUUCAUCCCUUAUAAAAUGCUUUGAAGUGGGAUUGUUAUCUUAUGUGUUUUCAGAACUAUGGUAAUAUCUUGUAGCGUUUUUGCAUCAAGGUAUGUAAAAAAACUAGAUGAGAUUCCUGCACUUAAUACUCAUUUUAUAACAAGAGCAUUUGAGAAGUAAUGUGUCACUUAUUAACUUCCCUGCAGACACAAACUGAUCAGUUUUUCAGCUCAUCACCCUUAGAACUGCAGUAUUUAUUUGCCACAUAGCAUUUCUCAAAGUAUGUCCCUUAGAACAUCGGUUCCUUGGGGUUUACAAGGAAUCCUUCCUUGUAUUAGCAUACAAAUAGAUGUCAUAAUAAAAAGGGUUCCCUGAUCAAAUAUAUUUGAGAAGCACUUAGUCAAACAAAGUUAAAUAGGUGUAUUUAUUAUAGUGCUUAGAGAAUUUAACUUUGUCUAUGCAUUGUGCAGGGGAAAAGAUACCAGUAUGCCAGCAAUUUCCACUUGCUUGGCUGCAGACCCUUCUUCAAGUCUCCCAACUGCUUUUUGAGAUUGAGCCAGUUCAACUGGCUGUCAACAGAAUAAAAGUGUUCUCCUUCAAAAAAGUGAAGUUUUCUUCCUUUCAUGCAUCCGUCUACCCAACCAUUCUUCAUUCACCCCAGCACCACCCCUGCAUCUCCCAACAAAAAGCUUUCCUUGAGCUCUUGUACGUCAGCUCCGAGGUUGGAUGAAGGACGCUGAAGCCGUGAAAACCCAACACUGACUCUACACUCCCGUUCUCCUCGGGCUUUACAGGUGGGCAGAAAAGCUAGCAGGAGUAAGAUAAAAAAGAGAGGGAAAGAUCAAAGGCGUUCUCUGGAUCAGUUUACCCAAGAGGGCAGAAAAAAUGAAAAAUGAUGUAAAGCCACCAGAAACGGAACAGGUCUCUUUGCUCCAACCUUCUUACUGCUCCCUUGCGUCCCAAUCAAAAUUGUGUUACCUCUUGGGAGAACCCUGGGAGGAAGACAAGAUGCGGAAGGCUCAUGGUAGUGACUCACCAGAGUGACCAGCAGCUUCCAUAUCGCCCCAUUGCUGGUCUGCCUGAGUCUGUGCUGUGCUUGAGUUUUCCCUUGUCUUUGCUGUGGCCACCACGUUAGAGCCUUGCAGUGUCUGUGCCGCUUUUCACAUGGAGAGCUGAUGGUGCUCAUCACUGAUCCAAAGGACGAGCACGUGGAAUUGCUUCUGGGGAAUCAGGGAGAUGUUGCUAUCUAUGAAGACUUUUUUUCCUUUUUCCCUCUGAUGGCAACUUCCUUACUUGGGAGGCACACCCAAACCCUGGGCUUCGUUAGAGCCAUAUUCUAAGGAGCCAAGAAAACAGAAUUGGGCAGUUGCUACACAAGAAACAGUACCAUGUCUUACCUGGAGAACUCCAACGGUUUUGAUCUACAUGAAAAGGUGAAUCAUUUCCAAAAUGGCACUUCGUUCAGAAUUGUUAUCCUUUAUUGGACAAUGCUUUUCAGUUUGAAUAAUUAAAAUCACAGUAUGUACGAGGAGUAGAAACUUGCUUCUAAAAAUUUAAGCGGGAAAUUCCUGAAAGUUUGUCAAGAAGACUAUUUUUGCCUGCUAUUGCCACCCACAAAAUGGAUUUCCUUCAACUACAGUAUUUUUAAAGCUUUUAAUUUCUUCUGUUUCUUUUUAGAGUGGAUGGUCUGAAAGGCCUGAGCCUGUCAAGAUGGUUUGAUUCAUUGUUUCAGAAUUGCUGACACCUUGGAAGGAUAAAGGGCUCAGGAGAAUGAAGUCAGUGAAUCCCUCUGCUAUGUUGCUGCUCUUGCAGGUUUCUGCUAUGACGAUUGGCAAAGAGAGACUCACCCAGAGGGGACACGUAUGUAAAGGCCGAAAACUCCUUACAACUGUCAGGCGUUCUUAUCCUCAUCAUCACUGUUAUUAGGGGCAAGAGGAAAGAGUUGGAAGUGAAUUUGCCAGGAUCUCUCUGUGGAUCGGAGAAUCCAGUGCUAGCAACAGCCUGGCGGCAGAAGAGCACAGUGUAAAUGAGGAUAUUGAAAUUUAACACGUGCUGUUGGAAAAAAAAUAAUAAUAAAGGUAUUUUAAAUAAAA